rnacentral:lncRNA from 1 species
GAUCAACCGCUGCACGCGUUUCGCGAGACGGCAACUCAUGACGAACAGCUGGGAGUAAACGAAACACACCGAGGCUUGUCGACGUUGCUUGUAAGUAGUUGUUCCUGCAAAAGGGUGAUGCUAUUACUGUGCUAGAUCUUCGGUUGGCGUAGGUUUCAGCGAUGUAUGCAAACUAAUUAACAGCACCAUUGCGUAGAAUUACUGUGCAAACUACUUUACUGUGUUUGUCAGAUUUUUUAGAAAGAUGUUUAAAUGCUUCUUUUUGUACUUCAGUGUUCACUAAAGUCCACAGUCUAUCUCUACUUUGUGGUGCUGUGUAUAAAUCUACAUGCCUAUCAGGGGCGGAAGAUGGCAGCCUAUGAACCCGGAUCAAAUAACUUUUUACCUAUAAUUUAUCUAUUUUAAUCGUAUAUAUACGUUACCAUCGUUCUAAACCAGUCACCCAGAGUGACAAAUUAAAGUUAGUUCAGAACAGUACGGCAAACAUGCAAACUCCCUCUACAAUUUAUUCUAGCUCUACCCGCGAUGUCUAUUACUGCCAAAACAUGCAUUUUAGCUAAGACAUUACAUACAAUCUCACGUUUUAAGAGCAAAAAUGACCAAUAACAAUGUAAGAUUCUAUCAUAUUUGAUGUCACGACCAAGUUUUGUUAACUGUGUUGUAGGAUCCUAUCUUUGAAGUAACAAAGAAUAUCAUACUUUUCUUCUUGAAAUUCUCCCAUUGACUUCCACUCCCAUGAGGCCAGAACUCUCCAAUUUCUCAACAGUAUAUUGUUCAGAUUGCUCACAGCAUCUUUUCCUAUCAUUUUCAGACCAAAUAUUGUUGGAUCAGACCAGAGUAAUACUACGCAU